rnacentral:misc_RNA from 1 species
GGAAGUAAAAGUCGUAACAAUUUCUCCGUAGGUGAACCUGCGGAGGGAUCAUUACAGAGUUCAUGCCCUACCGGGUAGAUCUCCCACCCUAUGUUAUUAUUACUUUGUUGCUUUGGCGGGCCGUUAGGCUCCGGCCCGACUACCGGCCCCGGCUGGUAAGCGCCCGCCAGAGGACCCAAAACCCUGAAUAUUAGUGUCGUCUGAGUACUAUAUAAUAGUUAAAACUUUCAACAACGGAUCUCUUGGUUCUG